GUGCUCACUUUGGCAACACAUACACUAAAAUUGGAACGAUACAACGAAUAUUAGCAUGGUCCUUGUAUGAGGAUGACACGUAAAUUCCUGAAGCGUUCCAUAUUUUU
ensembl:snRNA U6 U6 spliceosomal RNA